rnacentral:lncRNA from 1 species
CUCAACCUGCUCUCCUAUCUUCUGUUAGCUGAUGAAGGUAUAGUGCCGCAUGAGCCCUCCAUUUUGUUCCCUUGCAGGAGAAAUGCUGGAGCAGAAAGGCCAGAAACGUCAACCAUCUCACUUUGGCUGCAAAUAAGGUAAAAAGUUCUAUCAAUGCAACAAGCAUGCUUAUAUAACAAAAUUUUAUUGUAUAUCUCAAGUUGUAAUUGACCACUACAUGUUUAUAUAACAAAAUUUUAUUGUAUAUCUCAAGUUGUAAUUGACCACUACAUGUUUACAUAACAAAAUUUUAUUGUAUAUCUCAAGUUGUAAUUGACCACUACAUGUUUAUAUAACAAAAUUUUAUUGUAUAUCUCAAGUUGUAAUUGACCACUACAUGUUUACAUAACAAAAUUUUAUUGUAUAUCUCAAGUUGUAAUUGACCACUACAUGUU